GACAGGAUGUCCUAUAAGGAAUGUCAGUAUAGCCCAAGGUCUCUCCUCUCCCUGGGUGGGGACAGGAUGUCCUGUAAGGAAUGUCAGUAUAGCCCAAGGUCUCUCCCCUCCCUGGGUGGGGACAGGAUGUCCUAUAAGGAAUGUCAGUAUAGCCCAAGGUCUCUCCUCUCCCUGGGUGGGGACAGGAUGUCCUGUAAGGAAUGUCAGUAUAGCCCAAGGUCUCUCCUCUCCCUGGGUGGGGACAGGAUGUCCUGUAAGGAAUGUCAGUAUAGCCCAAGGUCUCUCCUCUCCCUGGGUGGGGACAGGAUGUCCUGUAAGGAAUGUCAGUAUAGCCCAAGGUCUCUCCUCUCCCUGGGUGGGGACAGGAUGUCCUGUAAGGAAUGUCAGUAUAGCCCAAGGUCUCUCCUCUCCCUGGGUGGGGACAGGAUGUCCUGUAAGGAAUGUCAGUAUAGCCCAAGGUCUCUCCUCUCCCUGGGUGGGGACAGGAUGUCCUGUAAGGAAUGUCAGUAUAGCCCAAGGUCUCUCCUCUCCCUGGGUGGGGACAGGAUGUCCUAUAAGGAAUGUCAGUAUAGCCCAAGGUCUCCCCUCCCUGGGUGGGGACAGGAUGUCCUAUAAGGAAUGUCAGUAUAGCCCAAGGUCUCUCCCCUCCCUGGGUGGGGACAGGAUGUCCUAUAAGGAAUGUCAGUAUAGCCCAAGGUCUCUCCUCUCCCUGGGUGGGGACAGGAUGUCCUGUAAGGAAUGUCAGUAUAGCCCAAGGUCUCUCCUCCCUGGGUGGGGACAGGAUGUCCAGUAAGGAACACAGCAUUCCAGCCGGUCUGACCAUAAACUCCAUUAGUUUCUAACAAGGAACAGACGGUCCUUGUUCUAAUUCUUGAUUAAAACUACACACGUUAUAUUCGGUAUUAUGAUUAUAAUAAGAUUCAUACAUCCAUACAGUAACAUAGUAGUAUUCUGUUUUAGUCAUAGUUGUGAUUUUAAAUGUAUAAAACAUUGAGUCAUUAUUCAUAAAAAUCCCUUUAACGAGAUGUGAAUAUAUCACACACAACA